AACCUGCCCUUCACCACGGGAUAACCCGGCGAAAGUCGGACUAAUACCGUAUGUUGUCCAUUGACGGCAUCCGAUUUGGACGAAAGGCUUGGCGGUGAGGGAUGGGGAUGCGUCCGAUUAGCCAGACGGCGGGGUAACGGCCCACCGUGGCGACGAUCGGUAGGGGUUCUGAGAGGAAGGUCCCCCACACUGGAACUGAGACACGGUCCAGACUCCUACGGGAGGCAGCAGUGAGGAAUAUUGGUCAAUGGGCGUAAGCCUGAACCAGCCAAGUAGCGUGCAGGACGACGGCCCUAUGGGUUGUAAACUGCUUUUAUGCGGGGAUAAAGUGGCCCACGUGUGGGUUUUUGCAGGUACCGCAUGAAUAAGGACCGGCUAAUUCCGUGCCAGCAGCCGCGGUAAUACGGAAGGUCCGGGCGUUAUCCGGAUUUAUUGGGUUUAAAGGGAGCGUAGGCCGCGCCUUAAGCGUGUUGUGAAAUCCGGGUGCUCAACAUCCGGCUUGCAGCGCGAACUGGGGCGCUUGAGUGCGCAGAAAGUAGGCGGAAUUCGUGGUGUAGCGGUGAAAUGCUUAGAUAUCACGAGGAACUCCGAUUGCGAAGGCAGCCUACUGUAGCGCUACUGACGCUGAUGCUCGAAAGCGUGGGUAUCGAACAGGAUUAGAUACCCUGGUAGUCCACGCGGUAAACGAUGGAUGCUCGUUGUCGGCCCUUUGGGUCGGUGACCAAGCGAAAGCGUUAAGCAUCCCACCUGGGGAGUACGCCGGCAACGGUGAAACUCAAAGGAAUUGACGGC
rnacentral:rRNA from 1 species